AUUGAACGCUGGCGGCAUGCCUUACACAUGCAAGUCGAACGGCAGCACGGGUGCUUGCACCUGGUGGCGAGUGGCGAACGGGUGAGUAAUACAUCGGAACGUACCUUAUCGUGGGGGAUAACGCAGCGAAAGCUGUGCUAAUACCGCAUACGCCCUGAGGGGGAAAGCGGGGGAUCGCAAGACCUCGCGCGAUUAGAGCGGCCGAUGCCUGAUUAGCUAGUUGGUGGGGUAAAAGCCCACCAAGGCGACGAUCAGUAGCUGGUCUGAGAGGACGAUCAGGCACACUGGGACUGAGACACGGCCCAGACUCCUACGGGAGGCAGCAGUGGGGAAUUUUGGACAAUGGGGGCAACCCUGAUCCAGCAAUGCCGCGUGAGUGAAGAAGGCCUUCGGGCUGUAAAGCUCUUUUGUCAGGGAAGAAACACCGGCUCUAACACAGUCCGGGAAUGACGGUACCUGAAGAAUAAGCACCGGCUAACUACGUGCCAGCAGCCGCAGUAA
rnacentral:rRNA from 1 species